rnacentral:rRNA from 1 species
AUAUUACUAAGCGGAGGAAAAGAAAUUAACGAAGAUUGCCUCAGUAGCGGCGAGCGAAGUGGCAAAAGCUCAAUUCAAAUCUGUGGCCUCCGGCUACCGAAUUGUAAUCUAAAGGGGUUAGCAAAAGGUGAAGUGGAAGCAUAAGUUGCUUGGAACAGCACGCCAAAGAGGGUGAUAGCCCCGUAUUUGGCUUCCGCUGAGCUGAAUGCUGGCUUUCUAAGAGUCGGGUUGUUUGGGAUUGCAGCCCUAAAUGGGAGAUAAACUUCUUCUAAGGCUAAAUAUCGAUGGGAAACCGAUAGCGAACAAGUACUGUGAAGGAAAGAUGAAAAGAACUUUGAAAAGAGGGUUAAAAGACUUGAAAUCGUUGAGAAGGAAGCGGUAGAGGUGGAUUACUUGGCUAUGAAGCAAGCUACGUGGUGGAGCUCUGCAGCGGUGAUGUACUUCAUCGGCUAGCUGUUGCAGCUGUUACGCCUUGUAGUGAUUUCAUGGCUAAUAGGCAACUCUGUGUCUGUGCCUACAGGAAUCAGGGUGGGAGAAGUCUGCGGUCUCCGCAAGCUCUUAUCCAAAACUGUGGGUUGGCCCAGAAUUGCCAAAACGGCCUCUACUGA